rnacentral:rRNA from 1 species
CCUACGGGCGGCAGCAGUCGAGAAUCAUUCACAAUGGGGGAAACCCUGAUGGUGCGACGCCGGGUGGGGGAAUGAAGGUCUUCGGAUUGUAAACCCCUGUCAUGUGGGAGCAAAUUAAAAAGAUAGUACCACAAGAGGAAGAGACGGCUAACUCUGUGCCAGCAGCCGCGGUAAUACAGAGGUCUCAAGCGUUGUUCGGAAUCACUGGGCGUAAGGCGUGCGUAGGCUGUUUCGUAAGUCGUGUGUGAAAGGCGCGGGCUCAACCCGCGGACGGCACAUGAUACUGCGAGACUAGAGUAAUGGAGGGGGAACCGGAAUUCUCGGUGUAGCAGUGAAAUGCGUAGAUAUCGAGAGGAACACUCGUGGCGAAGGCGGGUUCCUGGACAUUAACUGACGCUGAGGCACGAAGGCCAGGGGAGCGAAAGGGAUUAGAUACCCCAGUAGUC